AUUGAACGCUGGCGGCAGGCCUAACACAUGCAAGUCGAGCGGAUGAAGGGAGCUUGCUCCUGGAUUCAGCGGCGGACGGGUGAGUAAUGCCUAGGAAUCUGCCUGGUAGUGGGGGAUAACGUCCGGAAACGGGCGCUAAUACCGCAUACGUCCUGAGGGAGAAAGUGGGGGAUCUUCGGACCUCACGCUAUCAGCUGAGCCUAGGUCGGAUUAGCUAGUUGGUGGGGUAAAGGCCUACCAAGGCGACGAUCCGUAACUGGUCUGAGAGGAUGAUCAGUCACACUGGAACUGAGACACGGCCCAGACUCCUACGGGAGGCAGCAGUGGGGAAUAUUGGACAAUGGGCGAAAGCCUGAUCCAGCCAUGCCGCGUGUGUGAAGAAGGUCUUCGGAUUGUAAAGCACUUUAAGUUGGGAGGAAGGGCAGUAAGUUAAUACCUUGCUGUUUUGACGUUACCAACAGAAUAAGCACCGGCUAACUUCGUG
rnacentral:rRNA from 1 species